UCCCGAGGGUGGGGCGGGGGCAAGUGUCAGUCAGGGCAGAGCGCGGCGCGGGCAGCGGAGACCCGUGGCAGACAGGCAUCCGGGCCGGAACGAGGCCUGCAGAGAUGGAGUUCCUGCUGGGGAAUCCGUUCAGCACCCCUGUAGGGCAAUGUCUUGAAAAGGCCACGGAUGGCUCCCUGCAGAGCGAGGACUGGACACUGAACAUGGAGAUCUGUGACAUCAUCAAUGAGACAGAAGAAGGGCCAAAGGAUGCCAUUCGAGCACUAAAGAAGCGGCUCAGCGGGAACCGGAACUACAGAGAAGUGAUGUUGGCCCUGACGGUGCUGGAGACUUGUGUGAAGAACUGUGGCCACCGCUUUCACCUCCUCGUAGCCAACCGAGACUUCAUCGACAGCGUUCUGGUCAAAAUUAUCUCUCCCAAGAAUAACCCUCCCACUAUCGUCCAGGACAAAGUGCUUGCUCUAAUUCAGGCGUGGGCAGAUGCCUUUAGGAGCAGUCCUGACCUCACUGGCGUUGUGCACAUAUAUGAAGAACUGAAGAGGAAGGGAGUUGAAUUUCCCAUGGCAGACUUGGAUGCUCUGUCUCCUAUCCACACACCCCAGCGGAGUGUCCCAGAAAUGGAUCCAGCUGCCACUGUGCCCAGGUCCCAGUCGCAGCCCCGGACAAGUGCCGGCACCUACCCCUCACCUUCUCCAGCCUCCUACUCUAUGCUUCAGGCUCCAGCCCUGAGUGUGACUGGCCCCAUCACAGCCAAUUCCGAACAGAUUGCUAGGCUGCGCAGUGAACUGGACAUUGUUCGGGGAAACACAAAAGUCAUGUCUGAGAUGUUAACAGAAAUGGUCCCCGGGCAGGAGGAUUCUUCUGAUCUGGAACUGCUCCAGGAAUUGAACAGGACCUGCCGGGCCAUGCAGCACCGCAUAGUGGAACUCAUCUCCCGAGUGUCCAAUGAGGAGGUCACCGAGGAGUUGCUGCACGUCAACGAUGACCUCAACAACGUCUUCCUCCGCUAUGAGAGGUUCGAGAGGUACCGAUCUGGCCGAUCUGCUCAGAAUGCCAGCAAUGGAGUACUGAGUGAAGUGACUGAAGACAACCUAAUAGACCUGGGCCCUGGCUCCCCUGCUGUGGUGAGCCCCAUGGUAGGGAGCACAGCACCCCCAUCUUCUCUCUCCUCCCAACUCGCAGGCUUGGACUUGGGAACAGAGACUGUCAGUGGCACCCUCAGCUCACUGCAACAGUGUAAGCCUCAUGAUGGCUUCGACAUGUUUGCCCAGACCAGAGGGAACUCCUUGGCUGAACAGCGAAAGACGGUCACCUAUGAGGAUCCUCAGGCUGUUGGAGGACUUGCCUCUGCUCUAGACAAUCGGAAACAGAGCUCAGAAAUGAGAGGGAAAGGUGGGGAUUGUGACCUGCAGCCCAUAGACAGCUGGCUCAUGACCCAAGGAAUGGUGAGGAGCCAUAGCUGAGUGAGCUCGCUGCCCACCCCAGCCCCUCACUGUGUAACAGUCGGCACCUUCCUCUUGCCACCUGCCCAGUCCUUGUGACCAGACAGGACAGAGAUCACUCACUUGUUCUGGGGGUGCCAAUCUCCCCUCCUGUCUACGCAGAGUCUCCGUAAGGCCCCAGACUUCCAGCUCCAGAAACACCUUCCCUGACUGAGCCUGCGCUCCCGGAUCUUCGUGGACUGGGAUGUUUGCAGGCACGAGGGGAGGGUCUUUCCCUUCUCUCACAGACUCUGGAGUUCUCGGCAGUAUUCGUUUUUCCAGGAUGAGCAUCAGUAAUCGUGGCGUGUGCUCAGGAGGGGACCAUUAAGAGAGGGCUCAGCAUGUGGCCAGUCAGAGAGGCUCCCUCUUACUCAGGCCUGGGAAUUUGGCAGUCCUAGGCUUGGUGGGCUUUUAUACUGUAAUGGUGCCUCACAAAUGGCCUGAGACCUCUUGCAUAAAUAUAUAGAUGACAGUAACAGAGCCAAAGAAAUCAAGCCAGGAGAGCCUGUAUCACGCUUACAGUCCACUCUGUGGCUUGGGAGUGCCUUUCCCACCAUAUCUGUGCAGUUGGCCCUGAGCUGGGUGCAUGAAGAGAGGGUCCCAAGCUGCUUGCCUCAGUUGGACCAUUUCAUCCUUAAGUGCAGAAUCAAGCCUCUAGGUGUGUGUGGUAGGGAUGGAGCAGGUGAGGCUACAAAGAAAUGACGGGAAUAGACAUGUGGACUUCUGCCCUCCAGAUAAAUGCGGUGAGCCAAAUGUAGAACUCACCCUUGACGUCAGGCCAGGAGAGGGGUCCCGUAGGACUUCCAAGUGACAAGCUGUUUGCAGUACAGGGGCCACCUGCUUGAGAAAGGCUUAAGCUAGGGGUACAGACAGGGUCUGGAGACCAGUGCAGCGGGUGCCCAAGCUGUCCCCUCCCACAGCAGUGUACACUUGCCCUUAGUGAGAAAGCAGUUGUUCCUGCAAGUGGGGACUGGCCAGGCCCUUCAUUUUCUUCUUUUAGGUCACACUGGGCCCUGGCCUUAGAGCAGGCUUCAUAAAAUUAUAUCUCCAUUGUCCAAACAGAGACAUUCUAACUGUGUGCCCUGUGCCUGUUAGCCCUGCAAAAAAGGAUACUGCCCGCCAAACUACCUGAGUGUGACCUGGGCAGCUGGUGAUGGUGCCUGUCUUUGUCCACACAAGUCGACUUUCCUCUUCCCUGUCCCUGCAUAGAGCGCCAGUCUUCGGUUUCCUAGAAACAAACCCAACUAACAGCUAACUUGGUAUCUUCCCCUUCCUGCCUACAGUUUGUUUUCCUUUUAAAACAGUGUGUGUUAGCUGCUUUGCUUAUUUCCCGUAGUAUGGAAGUCCUACCCUCCCCAACCUGCCAAGUACAAAUUCUUCAUAUGGAAACUGUGUACUACUGAGUGAGACCAGGGGCUCUAGACUAUCUUUCCCACUGGGUCUGGGUGAAGUAUCACAAAUAGAGUUUCACGGCUCCUCUAGAGAUAGCACCCAGUACAGACCUGCACCAUCGGGCAGGUAGGUCUCUUCGUGUGCCUGGAGCUGGGGACAGCUGUGGAAGGGUGUCUACUCGUUCUUUCUUCUCCUGGGACUUCAGGUGUGAGGGCAGCCUGCAGUUAGGCCACUGCAGCAGGUGCAUUGGCAAGUAAAGGUAAGCAAGAUCUGGCUUGAGCCCAGGGUCAGCAGCCUUCCCUUCUCUCCCUCCCUGACCCUCCUGUCUUUUCUGUUACUUGUGGCUGGUGAUCAGUUAGGAGGUAUAAGCAGGGAAAAUCAGAGAAUAAAAGCAUGCCUCGGUCUUAGCACUGGACAGGCUGAUAUAGGAGGCUCCUGGUGUGAUCCAGCCUGGGCUACACAGAGACCAGCCCAAGCUGAAUAAUGGGACCCUGUCUUACACAUACUUGCAUAAAACCAUGUCAACAACAAUAAUAGUGACAAGAACAGAAGUUGUAGACCCUGAGGUCCUCUGUUGAUCCCUAACACCAGAGGUGCAGGACAAGGAAGAACAACAGCAGUGGGUUAUAAAAGACAGGGCCAGGGCCGAAGAGAUGGCUCAGUGGUUAAAAGUACAUACCGCUCCUGUAGAGAACCCAGGUUCAGUUGCCAGCACCCACAUUGGGCAGCUCACAAUGGCCUGUAACUACAGCUGCAGAGAAUCUGGUGCCCUCUUCUGGCCUCCAUGAGCACCUGCACUUACAUGAACAUACCCCUCAUACAAAUACACACACACACACACACACACACGAUGAAAAGUAAAAACAGGUAAGUAAAAAACCCUACUGCUGCUGUCAGAGGCUGAUGCUAGUUAUCUCCACUCUGUAACUCUGGCACACUAUCAGACGUAGGACACCAAAGGUGAAAACAAACAAAAGACUGACUGGGCCGUGCCAGUGCCUCACCUCUUUCUUGUUCCUAAGGUGGAGUGACCCAUAGGUGCCAACAACAGGACUUCUGCCCACCACCCAGAUCCUAACUUGCCUAACUUGGCAUCAGAGAUGGGCUGGGUAUUGUUACCAGGGCUCCAGCCUGGCUGCUCUUUUCACAGGCAGCAACAUUUGGGCUUGGUGUUUAUGGGAGGGUGUUCAGGGUAGAGUCCUUUCUCUUCGUAUCCAUUCUCCGUCUCCCUCAUCACUCUUUAUAACCUCCUGUAACAGCCUGUAGCUUGGAUCACUGUCCAAGAAGAUGCUAAAACCAUGACAGAAUGGCUAAAAGCUUUCCAGAGAUCUGAUGGAUGAGCCAAUAAGGGUUAGAUGUUAGACCCCGAAGUCCCAGGACAGAAACACACCGAGACUUCUUGCCAUGCCCCCUUCCUCUAUCAGCAGGAGAGGGACUUGUUUCUCCCUCUUUCUGGGCCUCUGCAGGUCUAUUUUCCAGUCAGUGUACGUGUUAAGAUUGGGUCUGGCUAUACCUGUGUGAUGAGAGCGAGGCUCUGCCUGCUUCCCAGAGCUGGUUCAUAGCUAUGCUUCUGCAUCCAGUCACCUGCCUUCCAUCACAUAAGCCUAGCCGAGAAAUAGCACCCUAGCUCCUCAGAACGUGCCCUGAGGCCCAAGAGACUCAGUUCCUGUGACUAGACUCCCUUGGGUGUCUAUGUUAGAAUAUAGAAACACAAACCUGGACCAUGAGGGAUCCUGACUCAGAAUGUUCGUGUUAGACUCAGAAUGCCACAUUACAGUCACCCUGUUCACAGGUGAGGAGAUGGAGGCCACGCCUUGUUGAAAUGCCCAGGCCAACUCCUUCACCUUCUGCCACAUAACUGAGACUUCUAAGACAGAAGAGGCUGGCUCCCCGAUUGAAGAAAGGCGCAGAGAGAAGUGACUUGCCCCAGGCCUACAGCUGGACAGUGUGGUCCAGGUGGAGCCCAGCCCCAUUUUUGUCUUGCUUUGCUGCCAUUGCAGGGAUGUGUUCAGCUGUUUGCAGAUGUUUAUGAUGUGUACUAAACCUAAAGCUUCACACAUGAUCCCCGUUGCGCAGCCCUCUGUCAUGGACGACAUUGAGGUGUGGCUCAGGACAGACCUG